UUCUUGGUGGCUGAGAAUUAAGCACUAAACUUUUAAUUUAGGGACAGCCAGCAAU
rnacentral:tRNA from 1 species